rnacentral:rRNA from 1 species
AACAAAAAGGCAUCUUUUUGUUUUUAAAAGACCUUCUUACGAAGGUAUGCUUAAAGAGGGGCUUGCGCCACAUUAGUUAGUUGGUAGAGUAAAAGCCUACCAAGACGAUGAUGUGUAGCUGGACUGAGAGGUUGAACAGCCACAUUGGGACUGAGACACGGCCCAAACUCCUACGGGAGGCAGCAGUAGGGAAUUUUCGGCAAUGGAGGAAACUCUGACCGAGCAACGCCGCGUGAACGAUGAAGUAUUUCGGUAUGUAAAGUUCUUUUAUUGAAGAAGAAAAAGUAGUGGAAAAACUAUAUUGACGUUAUUCAAUGAAUAAGCCCCGGCUAACUAUGUGCCAGCAGCCGCGGUAAGACAUAGGGGGCGAGCGUUAUCCGGAAUUAUUGGGCGUAAAGGGUGCGUAGGCUGUUAGAUAAGUCUAUAAUUUAAUUUCAGUGCUUAACGCUGUCUUGUUAUAGAAACUGUCUUGACUAGAGUGAGAUAGAGGCAAGCGGAAUUCCCAUGUGUAGCGGUAAAAUGUGUAAAUAUAUGGAGGAACACCAGAAGCGUAGGCGGCUUGCUGGGUCUUUACUGACGCUGAGGCACGAAAGCGUGGGUAGCAAACAGGAUUAGAUACCCUGGUAGUCCACGCCGUAAACGAUGAGUACUAAGUGUCGGGGUAAAACUCGGUACUGAAGUUAACACAUUAAGUACUCCGCCUGAGUAGUACGUACGCAAGUAUGAAACUUAAAGGAAUUGACGGGACUCCGCACAAGCGGUGGAUCAUGUUGUUUAAUUCGAAGAUACACGAAAAAUCUUACCAGGUCUUGACAUACUCUGCAAAGCUAUAGAAAUAUAGUGGAGGUUAUCAGGGAUACAGGUGGUGCAUGGUUGUCGUCAGUUCGUGUCGUGAGAUGUUAGGUUAAGUCCUAAAACGAACGCAACCCUUGUCGUUAAUUGCCAGCACAUAAUGGUGGGGACUUUAACGAGACUGCCAAUUAAACAUUGGAGGAAGGUGAGGAUUACGUCAAAUCAUCAUGCCCCUUAUGAUCUGGGCUACAAACGUGAUACAAUGGCUGUGACAAAGAGUAGCUGAAACGCGAGUUUUUAGCCAAUCUCAAAAAAGCAGUCUCAGUUCGGAUUGAAGUCUGUAACUCGACUUCAUGAAGUUGGAAUCGCUAGUAAUCGCGAAUCAGCAUGUCGCGGUGAAUACGUUCUCGGGGUUUGUACACACCGCCCGUCAAACCACGAAAGUUAGCAAUGC